rnacentral:rRNA from 1 species
UACACGUUGAGUUUCCUGGGGAUUUUAACGUGUUCCUCCCGUCUCCCCUUCAGCUUCCAACUCGCCCGUCAUCUUCAUCUCCCUCAUCACGCGAAAUCCAAAUCCGAACGAAAGAAAAUCCCCAAAUCUUAAGUCUUCUCCGCACCUGAUCCUCCCCAACUCCCGCGCCGCCCGAUUCGAUCCGGCGCCGGGCCGCCGAUCCCCUGCGGCGGCAUGGAGGCGCCCGAUCGCCUGUACCCCUCGGUCGAGCCGUACGACCUCGAGCCCCCGCAACUCGACGACGACGCCGCCGUGGGCACCGGCGAGGCUAGGGUUUGCGACCCGCCGGUGAGGUGGGACGAGGAGCCCAAGGAGGGAACCCACGUAUGCGAGCAAGGGGCAAAAGAUAAUCCUGACAGAGAUGACAUGGAAGACCACCUUAGUGUUGUCAAUAUUUAUGAGAGUGAUGACGAAAUGACCACCUUCAAGGGAUCAGGAGAAAACAUCCAUUCUGAUUGCCCACUUCGUCAACAAACUGGCAUCUGGGUACCUCCUUCUGUUCCACCGAUGACAAAGCAUGAUCAUGAGGAGUGGCAAAAGGGCUUUGUCUCAAAUGCUGGAUACUUCAUAGAAGACGAAUAUAAGUGGGAUAUGGAUGAAGACAUUAGGGAGAUGACAAUGUGGGAUGUGUUUGCUGAGAUGGCUGUUGCAGGAAAAGAUAAAUUAUUAUCUGUUGCAUCAUAUGAUUUUGGGAGGCAUAGCAUGUCUCUAGUUUCACACUUCCUUCUUCAAGCGGCUUUGGAGGAUAACUCUCAAACACUUGCAGAGGCCAGUGUUGGUUCUGAACAUGCCCUGCUUGAGACAGAACCGACAAAGUGGUUGCCUGAUAGUGCUGCUCCUUCUUGCAUGCUCUGUGGAGCGCGCUUCCAUCCAGUAAUUUGCUCUCGCCAUCAUUGUCGUUUUUGUGGUGGGAUAUUCUGUGGCAGCUGUUCAAAGGGUAGAAGCUUGAUGCCUCCAAAAUUUGGAACUUCAGAUCCUCAAAGGGUCUGUGAUGUUUGUGGAGUACGCCUUGAGUGUAUUCAGCCUUACUUGAUGAACCAGAUAAGUCGUGCUUGUCAACUUCCGACUAAAGAUUUGACAGACCUGAGCACCUUGAGGUCAUGGUUAAACCUCCCAUGGGCACCAACGAUGGAGUAUGAGAUAUACAAGGCUGCAAAUUCCAUACAUGGGUAUUGUAAGGUUGGAAAGCUGAAUCCAGAGAAGUCCAUUCCUGAUUCAAUUCUUAGACAAGCAAAGGGGCUUGCUAUAAUUACUGUGGUAAAGGUUGGAAUGAUGGUCACAUACAAAAUUGGUACUGGGCUGGUUAUUGCUCGCAGAGCUGAUGGUUCUUGGUCCCCUCCUUCAGCCAUAUCUACUUGUGGUGUUGGAUAUGGAGCUCAGGCUGGCGCUGAGUUAGCUGACUUCAUCAUUGUUCUGAGGAACACUGAUGCAAUUAAAACAUUCAGUGGAAAUGCACAUUUGUCACUUGGGGCUGGUUUCGGUGCUUCGGCUGGUCAUCUUGGACGGGUGGCAGAGGCUGAUUUCCGUGCCGGUGAUGGUGGUUAUGCUGCCUGUUACACAUACAGUUGUAGCAAAGGUAUGGCUGAAAUCAUCAGUAGCUGAGCAGGACUUGACUUCGUUCUAUUAAUUUUAUCUGUUCAAAUUUCUCCUGGACUAUAUUUUCCCAAUUUGCUGAUUCUGUUUAAAAACCAGGGCGGCAAAAAGAUGGAAACAAUUUCUCUUGAGUACCACUUAGUUCUUAGAGUAGAUGCCACUUUGCCAGGUCCCUUUAUUUUUUAGUUUUGAAUGAUGAAUACUAAUCUGUGUGUGAUUUACAUUAUUAACCAUUAUCUCAUUGCACAUUAAACUUGGCAUUGUUGAUUCUGCCAAAUUGGUAGCUUUUACAAAUAGCUUUUGUAACUCGGGAAGUAUCAUUCACCCAGCAAUAUAUAGUCAGAUAUUAUUGAGUUUUAUUGUGAUUGUCUGUGAAAGUAGUUUGAUGUUUACACAUAUAUCCAACAUUCCUGAAGCCUCUAGCUUCUUAUGAUAAUUUGUGAUCCAGACCAAGAAUUGUAUUCCUUAGAAAAUGGUCCAUAGACCUUUUAGGCUUUAGCCAUGUUACGGUAUGCGGUGGGCACAUACCUGGUUAUUGGUAUCUCCUAUGGCCAAAUAUACGCUAGUGUAUUCAAAUUUGUGCUUCUGUCCUCUGGGCAGUUGAACAAAAUGAAAUCGUGAUGGUCAAGUUUUGCAACUGCUGGUUUCCACAUUUCUAGCAGUACAUUCAGACAACUUGUUAAAUUAACAUGUGGUAUAGAACUAUCUGAGUAACAAAUUGUUACAUAUAAGUUGUACUGCAUUCGGGGUGGGCUACAUCACCUGUUGGAUUUGGCAUGAACAGUUAGGAUGACAGCAUGUAUGGAUGGUCUUAACUUCGCACAGACAGUGGUACAAUCUUCUUAAACAUGGAGUACUUCAAAUUUGUAGCAACGCGCCAGCAUGUGCUAUAACUUGCAAAAUGUAUUUGUGUGUCUUUGUGGCUGAAAACCAUGAAAUAGCAUGCAGUUUAUGUUGCUCAAUUGUGACUUCUUGAACUGAAAAAAGCGCAGUUGUACUUUGGACUGUUUUAUCAGUAUUAGCUGUGUAAUUAUUUGCUUCUGUAAACAGUUAUUAGUAUAAUUAUUGGGUAUCAUUUCCCAAUGAUAUGUUCAAUAUUGUACUACCUCAUGAUUUUUUUAGCUAGUUUAGCCUACAAAAACAUCUUAUAUUUCGAUACGAAGGUAAUUGCAUAUAUGACCUCUUAUGAUUUUAGUUAUUACAAAAGCUGGGUGCAUACUGAUGUCCAACUAAAUGUAGUUCUUUUAUAAUGUUUGUUUGGAAUGUUACAUUUGUACCAUUGGUGACAAUGAUGAGUACAUCUGGUAAUCUCCACUGGAUCGGUCAUACACAGUUUUUGUUUCGCUCACUUUGAUGUUUACAUCUUUUUCUUUCUCUGGCAGGCGCCUUUGUGGGAUGCGCACUCAAUGGAAGUGUAGUAUCAACCCGAAACAACGAAAAUGCCCGAUUCUAUGGCGGUCCAGUCAAGGCAUCAGAAAUCCUUCUUGGUUCACUGCCCAAGCCACCUGCCGCCGCCACUCUCUAUAAAGCUCUAUCCACACUAUUUGAUAAGAUCGGAAAGUAAUAUUCGUCUUUCAUGUGGUGACACACAUUGUGUCGCUCCCUGUUGGUCGUCACCUUUGGAGCUUCAGUAUCUCUAGGUAAUUUGCUUGUUUGCUAAUUCCUGGGUGCCAGUCAAGCAACUGUACAGUUUACCAUUCGUUGGUACAUGAAACAGGUCAUCUAUCCAGUGCCAGAAACCACUUUGUAAAUGUUGUACAUAUUGAUCACAAUUGCGCGAGAAAUGAAAGGGAAAGAAAAUUCUUCAUCAGUCUUACCCUUGAUUGAAACUCGUCUGGCAUCUUACUGUUGCAAUGUGAGCAACUUACUCGUCUUUGUUUUACCUAGACCACCUAUCGGCAUCUCGGCCUGCCACUGUUUUUUGCAAAAAGGACCUGUAGGUUCAUAUAAAGUGUUUGAAACCUGUGAUGGUAUAAUUUAUUUGCUUCUGGCGGUGCCGUACAUGAACAUGCACACUGGGAUGUUAAUUUUGCCACUAGCCAGUUUUAUCAUGAUGGCAAUAGAUGUACUAGCAGCAUGUGCUGUGUACAUGUACUAUUUCUUUGGGACCUGCGGCUGCGCCCAGCUUUUUUCAGUUGGCUACCGCUGA